rnacentral:tRNA from 1 species
UUCCUUGUGGCUCAGAUGGUAAAGAAUCUGCCUGCAAUGCAGAAGACCCAGGUUCGAUCCCUGGAUCAGAAA